AUUCAAACUGCCCUAUGGAGCAGCCCAAAGGGUGCAGACCUGAGACCUCUGACCAACAGUCAGCAGGGAACUGAGACCUGCUGCCCACAGCCAUGUAAGCGAGCAUGGAAAUGGAUCCUGUAGCCCUGGUCAAGCCUUCAGUGUCUUCAUUGAUUCUCGCCACACUUUCUGGAAUAGGAAGAACACAUGUGAUAAUUGUUGAUGAGUACACUGAUGGAUAGAACAUUGUAUAUUUCUCUAGGUCCUAUAAUCUGAUCACAACUUAUUGAGACAUAACAAAGUCUCUUUUGGUUCUUGAGCAUUGUGUGAAGAUGUUAUUUUUGAAACUGCUGCAGCCAUCACGUAACUAAGAGGGAGUGAGACUUCACGGGUGGAAAGAACCUGGAUCCUUGAUGACACAGUUGAUUCAUUGAAUCAACCACCCAUCAAAAGCCCAAUCCCUACACUUGGUAUUGUAUAAAAUUAUAAGUAUUCUUACUGUUUAAGCGACUUUGAUUUGAGACUUCUGUUACUUGUAUUAGACUAUUUUAACUGAUACAAAUAUUGUCAGGAUUUGACAGGAAAUGUUUGAGUCAAUACGUCUUAGUGCAUGAGAAAAUCCUCUGGCAUCAUAUACUUUCGCGUGAUAUAUUGUUAUGAAGCAAGCUUGUGGUAGUGCCAGAACUAGAAUCCAGAUAAUCCUGAUUCCAAGUUCAUUCUCUCCUCGGCAUUACUCAAUGCAUGAAUAUCCAAAAUAUCCCUUAUUGUUCUGAUAUCAAGGGUCUAUUAUCCAUAUGUGCUUGCCUUCAAUUCUUACCUAAAAGAUGACUUGAAAUUAUUUUUUUAAUAUUUUCCUGACUAGUAACUAGUGGCUUCUAGAAAUGACGUUGUCUUAUU
rnacentral:lncRNA from 1 species